rnacentral:rRNA from 1 species
UGCGUAGGGGGCAAGCGUUGUCCGGAUUUAUUGGGCGUAAAGAGCGUGCAGGCGGCCAGGCAGGUCUGCUGUGAAAACUCGAGGCUUAACCUCGAGCUGUCGGCGGAAACCAUCUGGCUAGAGUCCGGAAGAGGAGAAUGGAAUUCCCGGUGUAGCGGUGAAAUGCGCAGAUAUCGGGAAGAACACCCGUGGCGAAGGCGGCUCUCUGGGACGGUACUGACGCUGAGACGCGAAAGCGUGGGGAGCGAACAGG